GAUGAAGAACGCAGCGAAAUGCGAUAAGUAGUGUGAAUUGCAGAAUUCAGUGUAUCAUCGAAUCUUUGAACGCACAUUGCGCCUUCUAGUAUUCUGGGAGGCAUGCCUGUUUGAGCGUCAUUAAACCUCUCUCAAGUAUGAUUACUUGGAUGUGAAGGAAGAGUACCUUAAACUUAAGGAGUGUUCUCCUUUGAAAUUGAUUAGCAGAUGGUAAUGUUAUUAAAUCCCUGAUGUUGUAAGAAAUAACAGUGGUUUUGUAGACUAUUAUCUAGCUUUAAAUUAUAAUUUUUAUUAUGGUUGACCUCAAAUCAGGUAAGGAUACCCGCUGAACUUAAGCAUAUCAAUAAGCGGAGGA
rnacentral:misc_RNA from 1 species